rnacentral:rRNA from 1 species
GGGUUGUGAGGUUAAGCGACUAAGCGUACACGGUGGAUGCCCUGGCAGUCAGAGGCGAUGAAGGACGUGCUAAUCUGCGAUAAGCGCCGGUAAGGUGAUAUGAACCGUUAUAACCGGCGAUUUCCGAAUGGGGAAACCCAGUGUGAUUCGUCACACUAUCAUUAACUGAAUCCAUAGGUUAAUGAGGCGAACCGGGGGAACUGAAACAUCUAAGUACCCGAGGAAAAGAAAUCAACCGAGAUUCCCCCAGUAGCGGCGAGCGAACGGGGAGGAGCCCAGAGCCUGAAUCAGCAUGUGUGUUAGUGGAAGCGUCUGGAAAGGCGCGCGAUACAGGGUGACAGCCCCGUACACAAAAGCGCAUGUGCUGUGAGCUCGAUGAGUAGGGCGGGACACGUGGUAUCCUGUCUGAAUAUGGGGGGACCAUCCUCCAAGGCUAAAUACUCCUGACUGACCGAUAGUGAACCAGUACCGUGAGGGAAAGGCGAAAAGAACCCCGGCGAGGGGAGUGAAAAAGAACCUGAAACCGUGUACGUACAAGCAGUGGGAGCACCCUUCGGGGUGUGACUGCGUACCUUUUGUAUAAUGGGUCAGCGACUUAUAUUCUGUAGCAAGGUUAACCGUAUAGGGGAGCCGGAGGGAAACCGAGUCUUAAUUGGGCGUUAAGUUGCAGGGUAUAGACCCGAAACCCGGUGAUCUAGCCAUGGGCAGGUUGAAGGUUGGGUAACACUAACUGGAGGACCGAACCGACUAAUGUUGAAAAAUUAGCGGAUGACCUGUGGCUGGGGGUGAAAGGCCAAUCAAACCGGGAGAUAGCUGGUUCUCCCCGAAAGCUAUUUAGGUAGCGCCUCGUGAAUUCAUCUCCGGGGGUAGAGCACUGUUUCGGCUAGGGGGCCAUCCCGGCUUACCAACCCGAUGCAAACUGCGAAUACCGGAGAAUGUUAUCACGGGAGACACACGGCGGGUGCUAACGUCCGUCGUGAAGAGGGAAACAACCCAGACCGCCAGCUAAGGUCCCAAAGUCAUGGUUAAGUGGGAAACGAUGUGGGAAGGCCCAGACAGCCAGGAUGUUGGCUUAGAAGCAGCCAUCAUUUAAAGAAAGCGUAAUAGCUCACUGGUCGAGUCGGCCUGCGCGGAAGAUGUAACGGGGCUAAACCAUGCACCGAAGCUGCGGCAGCGAACGUAUCACCCAAGACAACUUUACGGAGUUGACGAUUGACGGAGCGAAGCGACGUCAAAGCGUUCAUUAAAGUCGAGUUGGCUUAGGGAUACGUUCGUUGGGUAGGGGAGCGUUCUGUAAGCCUGUGAAGGUGUGUCGUGAGGCAUGCUGGAGGUAUCAGAAGUGCGAAUGCUGACAUAAGUAACGAUAAAGCGGGUGAAAAGCCCGCUCGCCGGAAGACCAAGGGUUCCUGUCCAACGUUAAUCGGGGCAGGGUGAGUCGACCCCUAAGGCGAGGCCGAAAGGCGUAGUCGAUGGGAAACGGGUUAAUAUUCCCGUACUUGGUGUUACUGCGAAGGGGGGACGGAGAAGGCUAUGUUGGCCGGGCGACGGUUGUCCCGGUUUAAGCGUGUAGGUGUGUGUUCCAGGUAAAUCCGGUUCACUUUAACACUGAGGCGUGACGACGAGGCACUACGGUGCUGAAGCAACAAAUGCCCUGCUUCCAGGAAAAGCCUCUAAGCAUCAGGUAACACGAAAUCGUACCCCAAACCGACACAGGUGGUCAGGUAGAGAAUACCAAGGCGCUUGAGAGAACUCGGGUGAAGGAACUAGGCAAAAUGGUGCCGUAACUUCGGGAGAAGGCACGCUGACACGUAGGUGAAGUGAUUUACUCAUGGAGCUGAAGUCAGUCGAAGAUACCAGCUGGCUGCAACUGUUUAUUAAAAACACAGCACUGUGCAAACACGAAAGUGGACGUAUACGGUGUGACGCCUGCCCGGUGCCGGAAGGUUAAUUGAUGGGGUCAGCGUAAGCGAAGCUCCUGAUCGAAGCCCCGGUAAACGGCGGCCGUAACUAUAACGGUCCUAAGGUAGCGAAAUUCCUUGUCGGGUAAGUUCCGACCUGCACGAAUGGCGUAAUGAUGGCCAGGCUGUCUCCACCCGAGACUCAGUGAAAUUGAACUCGCUGUGAAGAUGCAGUGUACCCGCGGCAAGACGGAAAGACCCGUGAACCUUUACUAUAGCUUGACACUGAACAUUGAGCCUUGAUGUGUAGGAUAGGUGGGAGGCUUUGAAGUGUGGACGCCAGUCUGCAUGGAGCCGACCUUGAAAUACCACCCUUUAAUGUUUGAUGUUCUAACGUGGACCCGUAAUCCGGGUUGCGGACAGUGUCUGGUGGGUAGUUUGACUGGGGCGGUCUCCUCCUAAAGAGUAACGGAGGAGCACGAAGGUUGGCUAAUCCUGGUCGGACAUCAGGAGGUUAGUGCAAUGGCAUAAGCCAGCUUGACUGCGAGCGUGACGGCGCGAGCAGGUGCGAAAGCAGGUCAUAGUGAUCCGGUGGUUCUGAAUGGAAGGGCCAUCGCUCAACGGAUAAAAGGUACUCCGGGGAUAACAGGCUGAUACCGCCCAAGAGUUCAUAUCGACGGCGGUGUUUGGCACCUCGAUGUCGGCUCAUCACAUCCUGGGGCUGAAGUAGGUCCAAGGGUAUGGCUGUUCGCCAUUUAAAGUGGUACGCGAGCUGGGUUUAGAACGUCGUGAGACAGUUCGGUCCCUAUCUGCCGUGGGCGCUGGAGAACUGAGGGGGGCUGCUCCUAGUACGAGAGGACCGGAGUGGACGCAUCACUGGUGUUCGGGUUGUCAUGCCAAUGGCACUGCCCGGUAGCUAAAUGCGGAAGAGAUAAGUGCUGAAAGCAUCUAAGCACGAAACUUGCCCCGAGAUGAGUUCUCCCUGAGACUUAGAGUCUCCUGAAGGAACGUUGAAGACGACGACGUUGAUAGGCCGGGUGUGUAAGCGCAGCGAUGCGUUGAGCUAACCGGUACUAAUGAACCGUGAGGCUUAACCUUACAACGCCGAAG